rnacentral:rRNA from 1 species
UACGGAGGAUGCAAGCGUUAUCCGGAAUGAUUGGGCGUAAAGCGUCCGCAGGUGGCUGUGUAAGUCUGCUGUCAAAGAGCGAAGCUCAACUUCGUAAAGGCAGUGGAAACUACACGGCUAGAGUGCGUUCGGGGCAGAGGGAAUUCCUGGUGUAGCGGUGAAAUGCGUAGAGAUCAGGAAGAACACCGGUGGCGAAGGCGGCUCUCUGGGACGGUACUGACGCUGAGACGCGAAAGCGUGGGGAGCGAACAGG